ACACACACACACACACACACACACACAAACGUGUAUACUCCUUUUUAUGUUGCGUUAAACAUUUAAGUGUGUGUGUGUGUGUGUGUAGCGCUGGUGGAGGUGUAUCUCUCCUGUGAUUUGCUCUUUGUGGGGGAGAAUGGUUGGGGGAGAGGAGCCUGCACUGCUACACCUACUGAACACCUGCCACGAAUGGGCCAAUGGGUAAAACACACACAAACACACUCUAUGUGCCCUCUACUCUUCGGUAGAGUAUUACUCGCAGAGUUAGUGUGAAAAUCAAAUGAGCAUUGUAAAGCAUUAUAGAGCACACCCUUCACUUCCUGUAGAGUAUCGCAGUGUAUCAGAAUGAUUGCGUGGAUUGUACAAGAUUGCCCAUUAUAGGGUCAAUUUACCUACAUUGUAGCUCCUGUAUUGUACUACAGUCUAGUUUUAGAAGUAUUAUAGCGCUUUGAAAGGAAAUAGUAGAACUCAUGUAGAAUAUCAUGUGUUGCAGGUCUGCAGACGGUCUGUUAGCUGUUCCCUCGGCUCCUGCUCCGCUCCUGGCUGUGUGUUUAUACACUACGUUCCAAAAGCAGGGUGGUGACACUAAGCAUAUUACAGCAAACCUUCCACUAUCUGACCACAACCGAGAGGUGCUGGUUUACCUGCUGUUCUUCUAUUUAACAGACUUCCUCUCAGCGCACCUGAAACCCCAGGCCACCUAAGCUAAAUGACAUGCUCAGGAAGCGCUGGAUUUUACGAUAACUGCUCGCGGUUCACUGUCAAAAGCCUACGCCGCAGACUGACGCCCAAGUCAGCCUGUCGGGCGGGGACCCGCUCGUAUCAGGUGAUGAGACUCCGCCCAUUACCCUCGCCCCCCUUCCUACUCUGCUAAAAGCAGAAGAGGAUGAGGUCGAAGAGGAAUGAGGAUGAUAUGGAUGAUAGAUCUGAAUUGAUGACGAUGACUAAUUCGAGGAUUCCCCGUUCCCUCCCUCCGCCCAGAUGGGCAGAGUUUCUGUGGCAUAAGCGGAAGGUUGAUAAGGUUUUGAAUCACUCCAAAGAUGUCAGCGUCCACCUUUUGACCCUGUUGGUAGAUUAUUUUGAUUGGCUUUCACUUUUCCACCAAUCACAAUCUGAGCACAUCAUCUACCGCUGCAUCGCCAAGCUGACCCCGGAUACACUCCUCCGACUGAUGCCUUUUGCCCUUUUCAGAUUCUGUGUAAAGGUCAGAAGAUCUUGCUAAAGAGCAUCAGUCUGAGUCGCCCUGGCGCUCUCUCUCACAGCCAGCAGAGCCAGGUACACACACCUGACACACCCCAGUCCCAGCUCCAUACACUCCACACAAGAAAUCUCAUCUGCACAAGUUAUUAGUUAAUUAGUUAUUAGCAC
rnacentral:lncRNA from 1 species